rnacentral:rRNA from 1 species
UACGGAGGGUGCAAGCGUUAAUCGGAAUUACUGGGCGUAAAGCGUGCGCAGGCGGUUUGUUAAGUCCGCUGUGAAAUCCCCGAGCUCAACUUGGGAAUUGCAGUGGAUACUGGCAAGCUGGAGUAUGGUAGAGGAAGGUGGAAUUCCCGGUGUAGCAGUGAAAUGCGUAGAGAUCGGGAGGAACACCAGUGGCGAAGGCGGCCUUCUGGACCAAUACUGACGCUCAUGCACGAAAGCCAGGGGAGCAAACGGG